AUUGAACGCUGGCGGCAGGCCUAACACAUGCAAGUCGAGCGGCAGCGGGACCUUCGGGUUGCCGGCGAGCGGCGGACGGGUGAGUAAUGCCUAGGAAUCUGCCUGUUAGUGGGGGAUAACGCGGGGAAACUCGCGCUAAUACCGCAUACGUCCUACGGGAGAAAGCGGGGGCUCUUCGGACCUCGCGCUAACAGAUGAGCCUAGGUCGGAAUAGCUAGUUGGUGGGGUAAUGGCCCACCAAGGCGACGAUCCGUAACUGGUCGGAGAGGAUGAUCAGUCACACUGGAACUGAGACACGGUCCAGACUCCUACGGGAGGCAGCAGUGGGGAAUAUUGGACAAUGGGCGAAAGCCUGAUCCAGCCAUGCCGCGUGUGUGAAGAAGGUCUUCGGAUUGUAAAGCACUUUAAGUCGGGAGGAAGGACUGUAGGCUAAUACCUUGCAGUUUUGACGUUACCGACAGAAUAAGCACCGGCUAACUUCGUGCCAGCCGCCGCGGUAA
rnacentral:rRNA from 1 species